GGCCUAACACAUGCAAGUCGAACGGUAAGUUAAGAGCUUGCUCUUAACACGAGUGGCGAACGGGUGCGUAACGCGUAUGCAAUCUACCCUUUUCUGGAAGAUAGCCCUUAGAAAUGAGGAUUAAUACUCCAUAGUAUAACAAUUUCGCAUGUUAUUGUUAUUAAAGCUUCGGCGGAAAAGGAUGAGCAUGCGUCCCAUUAGUUAGUUGGUAGGGUAACGGCCUACCAAGACUCCGAUGGGUAGGGGGCCUGAGAGGGUUAUCCCCCACACUGGUACUGAGACACGGACCAGACUCCUACGGGAGGCAGCAGUGAGGAAUAUUGGUCAAUGGAGGCAACUCUGAACCAGCCAUGCCGCGUGCAGGAUGACUGCCCUAUGGGUUGUAAACUGCUUUUAUGUAGGAAGAAACCUCAGUACGUGUACUGAGCUGACGGUACUACACGAAUAAGGACCGGCUAACUCCGUGCCAGCAGCCGCGGUAAUACGGAGGGUCCAAGCGUUAUCCGGAUUUAUUGGGUUUAAAGGGUACGUAGGCGGAAGAUUAAGUCAGUAGUGAAAGCCCAUCGCUCAACGAUGGAACUGCUAUUGAUACUGGUUUUCUUGAGUAUACUUGAAGUAGGCGGAAUACGACAUGUAGCGGUGAAAUGCAUAGAUAUGUCGUAGAACACCGAUUGCGAAGGCAGCUUACUAAGGUAUUAUUGACGCUAAUGUACGAAAGCGUGGGGAGCGAACAGGAUUAGAUACCCUGGUAGUCCACGCCGUAAACGA
rnacentral:rRNA from 1 species